rnacentral:ncRNA from 1 species
CUUGCCUUUUUGUUUCCCAGCUAACCAGCCAACUUCCAAGCCUAAAGGCCCCAGCCACUGGCGGAAAGUAUUCGCAUGCUGUUCAGCCAGUAAUUCAGUCGGCGCCAUCAAUGCAACCUGCUUACCGUGCGCAAUAGCGCGCAGUGCAGCCAGUGCCGCAACCAGAGUUUUGCCAGAACCCACAUCCCCUUGAAUCAGCCGCAUCAUAGGGAAGUUAUGCGUCAUAUCUUGUUCGAUUUCCGCCACGACCCGC